rnacentral:rRNA from 1 species
CGGAGGGUGCAAGCGUUAUCCGGAUUCACUGGGUUUAAAGGGUGUGUAGGCGGGCUAUUAAGUCAGUGGUGAAAUCUCCGGGCUCAACCCGGAAACUGCCAUUGAUACUAUUAGUCUUGAAUAUUGUUGAGGUAGGCGGAAUAUAUCAUGUAGCGGUGAAAUGCAUAGAUAUGAUACAGAACACCGAUUGCGAAGGCAGCUUACUAAACAAUUAUUGACGCUGAGGCACGAAAGCGUGGGGAUCAAACAGGAUUAGAUACCCUGGUAGUCCACGCCCUAAACGAUGAUUACUCGACAUACGCGAUACACAGUGUGUGUCUGAGCGAAAGCAUUAAGUAAUCCACCUGGGAAGUACGUACCGCAAGGAUG